rnacentral:rRNA from 1 species
GGACGAGAAGCUUGCUUCUCUGAUGUUAGCGGCGGACGGGUGAGUAACACGUGGAUAACCUACCUAUAAGACUGGGAUAACUUCGGGAAACCGGAGCUAAUACCGGAUAAUAUUUUGAACCGCAUGGUUCAAAAGUGAAAGACGGUCUUGCUGUCACUUAUAGAUGGAUCCGCGCUGCAUUAGCUAGUUGGUAAGGUAACGGCUUACCAAGGCAACGAUGCAUAGCCGACCUGAGAGGGUGAUCGGCCACACUGGAACUGAGACACGGUCCAGACUCCUACGGGAGGCAGCAGUAGGGAAUCUUCCGCAAUGGGCGAAAGCCUGACGGAGCAACGCCGCGUGAGUGAUGAAGGUCUUCGGAUCGUAAAACUCUGUUAUUAGGGAAGAACAUAUGUGUAAGUAACUGUGCACAUCUUGACGGUACCUAAUCAGAAAGCCACGGCUAACUACGUGCCAGCAGCCGCGGUAAUACGUAGGUGGCAAGCGUUAUCCGGAAUUAUUGGGCGUAAAGCGCGCGUAGGCGGUUUUUUAAGUCUGAUGUGAAAGCCCACGGCUCAACCGUGGAGGGUCAUUGGAAACUGGAAAACUUGAGUGCAGAAGAGGAAAGUGGAAUUCCAUGUGUAGCGGUGAAAUGCGCAGAGAUAUGGAGGAACACCAGUGGCGAAGGCGACUUUCUGGUCUGUAACUGACGCUGAUGUGCGAAAGCGUGGGGAUCAAACAGGAUUA